GUUGAACGCUGGCGGCGUGCUUUAUACAUGCAAGUCGAGCGGUAAGAGGAGGAGAGUGGUUGUCGGGCGUUGACGGGGGGAGUGAGAGAAAGGCAUGGGUAACGUACCUGGGGGUCAGUAAUAGCAUGGGGAGAUAAGAGCUAAUACGGGAUAUGGAUGAAAGCGGGAGGGUGUAAGGGUUAGAGAGGUUGUUGCGGUCGCUUAUAGAUGAGGCCGUGCCGGAUUAGCUAGUUGGUAAGGUAAAGGCUUACCAAGGGGACGAUGCGUAGCCGGACUGAGAGGGUGACCGGCCACACUGGAACUGAGACACGGUCCAGACUCCUACGGGAGGCAGCAGUAGGGAAUCUUCCGCAAUGGGCGAAAGCUUGACGGAGCAACGCCGCGUGCGUGAAGAAGGUCUUCGGAUCGUAAACCUCUGUUAUUAGGAACGAAACAAUUCUUAAGUAACUCCGCACCUCUUGACGGUACCGUAUCAGAAAGCCACGGCUAACUACGUG
rnacentral:rRNA from 1 species